GAAAAGAGGAAGGAGGGCUCUCGGCGGAAGAAAAGAAAGGGGGAGGGAGAAGUCUCGGCAGGAGAAAAGAAAGGGGGAGGGAGAGCUCUUGGCUUUGACCUUGGAAGGAACAACGAGGCCAAAGAGAUGCCCCACCGCUGCACCUCGUCGUCACCUGCGCCAAAAGCAAGCCUCCGAGCAAGACACCUCUUAAACCCUUUUCUUUUUACUCCUUUAAAUCUGUAUAUGCAGCAGGUGUAGAAACAGACGACGUUGGAGGCUUGGACCUUUGACCAGAAUGGGUUAGACAGUACACUCCUAAGGACCUUCCGAUUCCGCAUAAAGAAUAAAUAAACAACGUUUAUGAUUUAGAGAGAAUAAUGUAGUUUCCAAUUUAGAUCCCCAGGAUGUAUGACUGGUUUAUUAAUUACAAAUAAUUUUCUUAUUUAUUGGAAUGUUAUAUGAUGCGUGGAAAAAAAAAACUUAGGAUUGUUUCAGUUGGUAUCAGAGCAAGGAUCUUAUAAGGGAUGAGUACUGCCAGUUUCGGGAAGUCCAAGAGCUGAGCUCCAAGUCUAUGAGUUAUUAUCGCUUUGAAUUGUAUAUGCUGAAUUUAAAUGCUUAUAUGUUAUAAAAGUUAGGCGGUUAAAUGUUUCGAA